CCAAACCACCUAAGUAAAACAAACCUAGUUAUAGGUUAACACCUGGUCUUUAUUAAUUGGUUGGGUCAUGGGUGUACUGCCUUAGACACUACUGUGCGGUCUACCUGAACCGCUAAACCCUAAUUCCAACCUCCAAUCUAUCAGAUAUCACCUAUAAAAGUCACCUAAUCUCUUUAGCCUUUGAAAGGAAAUCCCAAAUGGAAAAGAGAAAAAGAGAGCCGCCGUCUCUGAACAAAAGAGCGAUCGGCACUCUUUAAGCUGUUGAUUCUGGAAUCAGGUCUGUGUGUGUGUGGUGAGGGGUCAGAAUUGAAACUCCAAAUUGAUAACUUUAGAGGACAUAUGUUGAUAAGGAAGAGUCAGCUGGAUUGUGAAUUUAGAAGAUAAUAUGAAUAAACCUAUAUGCUUGGUUGGGGGUACUCAAAUGCCAUCACAAUUGUAACAACCUAAUCAUCUUUUAAAUGCUUUUGAUAUGUCAUUGCAAAGGCAUGCUCUCUCUCUAUUUUUUCUUCACUUACCAAUGAAUGGAAAUUAUAGUGUUUUAUUAAUGGGAACUUUUAUGUGAAUGCUGGCACCAAAAUUCAUAGCCUGUUAUGUACUCAUAUUUCAGACUGUACGAGCAUGGUGCAAUAUUUAAAUCUUUCUUUUGCUUGUUCAUUUUUUAGCUUGGCUUGUCUUUGAAAAAUGACUAGUGGAGCCGAACAGGGGAGAGACAUGCUGGCUUUG